rnacentral:tRNA from 1 species
GGGCGCUUAGUUCAAUCGUGGUAGAAUAGGGUCCUUUGCUACCCUGGGUUAUGGGUUCGAAUCCCAUAGUGCCCUA